rnacentral:lncRNA from 1 species
CUGUAUGUAGCUAGUAUGAAUGGGAUUCGUUCGAUGCAUGGAUCCAUCAUCAGUAGACUUCGACGUUCCAUUGCUCGCCCUUCUUGAGCUUCUUCUUGUACUCAAACCAGUCGAUCCCGUCCUUCGCUGCGAGGUCGGUCAUGAUUUCGUCGAUGCCCUUCUCCAUGCCCUUGAGCCCGCACAUGUAGACGUAGGUGUUGUCCUUCUUGAGAAGCUCCCACAGCUCCUCCUUGUACUCCGCCAUCCGCGUCUGGAUGUACAUCUUCUCCCCGGCCGCGUUCGUCUGCUCCCGGCUCACCGCAAAGUCCAGCCGGAAGUUGUGCGGAGCAAUCUCCUUCAUCUUCUCCAGCUCCUCCUUGUACAGCAGGGUGUCGCUUGUCGGAACUCCCAAGAACAGCCAAGCAAGCCCGGUGUACUGCAUAUACGGAUAUCAGUAUGUUCAUUCAUUGGAACAUAUGGUUGGUUCAUAUGGUUGGAGCACCAACUAACCUUGUAGUCGUCGUGCUCCUCGAAGAACAUCUUCCACAAGAAGGAGCGGAAGGGAGCGAUACCGGU